AAUUCUUAGCAUGCACGGGAUAAACCACGAAACCACGGAGCCCAUGUAUACAGUGGCUUUACUGAUGGCUUCAUGCCGCUUUUCGCUUUUGUAGUACUUCUUCACUGGAUGCUAAGUUCUCUGUUCAACAAGGAUGCUGUAGUGCAGAAACUUCCUGAUAGGUUUGUUCAGCUCCCAGUCUCAGAGACUGAUGGUCUUUCCCUAUACUGCUGUAGAAAGUGUCUAGGGACACUGCAUAGGGUUGAAAAGAUGACUGAGGAGAUGAGGUCUCUAGCUAUAUCCAGCUAUGGCAUUGCAACUAGAUCUAGUUCUCUCACCGGUAGCCCAACAGCAAGAGAAAACUCAAGAAAGAGCCAUGGAGAAGCUCGUCCAGUAGCUAAGCGUGCCUUAGGUAUCCUCGACGCUAGGUAAACAUUCAAUGCAUACACCGUGUUCUGGUUCAGCUCAUUUGACAAUUUUCAAUGUUAAGUGCAAAUAGAUGAAAGUUUACACACAUGGACUGAACAUAAAUUGUAUCACAGAGGUAGAGCUAGAGAAGGCGUCCAAGUGAUGGUAAUUAACCCUUUAACCGCCACGGGCCACGAUCGUGGCCCGCAAUAGUGACUUUUUUGUGAAAUUCUAAUUCCGCGAUACUUAUAGGAAGUAGCUUGAACUACGCAUCUCCCUGUAUUGAGGAAGAGCUGUAGAAUCACGUGCAAUUUAGUCUAGAAUUAGAAUUUUCCAAGCCACGUUACUAUGUUAUUCAUUAGCCGCACGAAGUUUAUAGCUAUGGCUAGGUUGUUUACUUGUGCCGAUGUGCUUGAACAGCAAUGUCUCCUCUGGUGCCUAUGAAGGAGAGGGGAUAAGAGUAGGAUACCUCCCAAAGGCUACCAGCUUUAUGCCAGACGCUGAUGAACUGUCUGGGACUGAGGACAUGCAUGACAUGGACCUAGACGCUAGCACUAUGGACCAGGACGGUGAAAGACCAGGAGAGGGCUCAUGAUCGUUCACUGAGCUCUCUGAUGUCAACAGUUACAGGGGGUGGACCGUCUGAUGGAAGUGGGUCACUGUCCAACGAUGACGGAGAUGAACUUCCUGAUGACAAAAGUGUGUCAUCCGGGUGAUGGACUGUCCGGCGACGAUGAAAGUUUGUUGAUGUCUGACAGUGAAGGUAUAUCACACUCACACUAGCUGUGCAGUUCUGGUGACUGAUGGUUAUACAUGGUACACCUCACCGUUAUAAUAAUAUAGUAAUACAUGUACGUAUUGUACUCAAAAAUCAAGCUUAGUCAACCAUAUGAUAGGCUGAUCAAUUUUAUCUCACCGCUGGCCGGGCAUUUAAAAUGAUAAAAACGGGUGGGCGUAAUAACCAUGGGGUAUGGGCAUUCUAUUGGUAUAUGGUUGCUAGGCAUUUUAUUGCCCGAUAGAGAAUUAACAGACAUUUCACUUCACUGUUAAUUAAGAAUCCGAAUUAACAAUCCGACGGUUAAAGGGGUAAUUAAAUUUAAUUAAAUACCAUAAUAAACAAUGCAGAUGACAGUAAACUCACCAGUUCGUCCCUGUCCUUCACUAGUCAUCUGGAUAGGAAAAUUGGUUGUGCACUUGUUGGAGGUGAUCCUCGGAUGUCCGAGGCAACUACGAGACAGCAUGUGGGUUUUCCAGAAAAUAGGCGGGAAAGUCUGUCGACGGCAACCAGUCUCCGUUUUUCGAAAGGUCCGGCUGGAGACAUUUUCUUGGGAUUGGUUUAUUGAAGACAGUUUGUCCAAUUCUUUUUCAGAUAUUGGAGACAGAUAUUGGAGACAGUUGUGACGUAUUCAGACCACCGUAACUCUCGGAGAGUUACAGUGAAGGGAGCGGCACAUCAUCCAGGCAUGUGUUUGGCAGCAGCAAUUCUAUUCAAGGAAGAAAUGGUCGGUGUUCAGUCACUCCUUUCGCUAGUUCUUUUUAACGCCAAGAAUGUGUACCUGAGUUUGCAUCAGCAACGUUUAGCUUGGUGGCCGAGAUCAGCAAACGUCACAGGGAGCCCUUAGAGCGCUGGAUCGAGGACUUCAAGUUCGUUGGUGACAACGUAGCAAAGAGGUUACAUCUGUGAGCACUGACCAGUGUCUACCUACAGAGUACAAAGCAUCAAACAAAAUUUAAUAGUUCUUGUAAGCAGAACAGUUUGCAAGUACAUCAAGUGUCUGCAGAAGUACGCCAUAUAGCACACGCACACAGCAGUCUGAAGCGAUCGUACUUCACAAGAACGAGACGAAGGGGGCUGAUAUGAUCGAUAUUAUGAGGGAAAUGCACGAUUACCUUGGUGACAGCUCCAAGAUAAGACCAUCUGGUGGAGACUGUUGAAAGAAGCCAGCAACAUUUGAUGGACUCCGACACACAGAGAGGCAGGCUGGAGCCGUGUGCAGUAGACUGGCAUUGUUUGAUGAAUAUCCUAAUGGCUACAAAAAAGCAUGUAAUUAACUGGCUCACAGACAUGUCACACGUACACUAUUUUUUAAUCUACCAGUA